UACGUAGGGUGCAAGCGUUGUCCGGAAUUAUUGGGCGUAAAGAGCUCGUAGGCGGUUUGUCGCGUCGAAUGUGAAAUCCCGGGGCUCAACCCCGGGCCUGCAUUCGAUACGGGCAGACUAGAGUUCGGUAGGGGAGUCUGGAAUUCCUGGUGUAGCGGUGAAAUGCGUAGAUAUCGAGAGGAACACCAGUGGCGAAGGCGAGUCUCUGACGACUCCUGACACUGAGGCACGAAAGCUAGGGGAGCAAACAGG
rnacentral:rRNA from 1 species